rnacentral:lncRNA from 1 species
UCAAUUUAAACAAAUCUCCACAGACAAAUUAUAACAGCACAGUCGUACCGUCGGUGUCAUCCUUGGUGUUAUCCUACGUUGAUUUCAUGAAUUGCAGUUUACACCAACACGCUCGGCAACAAGCAGUAAAAUAAUUAUGCCUAAUUUUUAACAACAAACAAGAAAAGUAGCGAGAAGUAUAUUCUUAUUGAAUCAUAUACCGACUAACCACUGAUCGGUAUAGCCAGCUUCGCGACCUCACCUGUCUCGGCUGGCAACCCGAUUUUCGAGUUUUGUUCUUUUUCUUUGUUUCUUCCGUGUCCACGUUGUUGCUGUCGCGUGUCAACGGUUAUACAACGGUGUUACUAAAAUAUUUUUAUUUCUGUUUUAAGUAGUAUGGUGCGUGUGUGGCAGUACUCACGUUGGACAAUGUUCCAGAAGAACUUUUCGUCUAGUUGAACUAUCUGCUUGAGUUGUCCAUUUCGGGUUAGUACUUGCUUUCCAUACCACGUCCUUUUUUUCCAUCCCCCUCUCUUUUUGUGUUACUCGAAAUUCAUUCCGUUCGUGUUUUCGUAAGUAGCGUCCUAAAGGACUAGUACAGAUGUUGGCUAGCGUUUCACAACUUUCGUUCACCUAUAGUUGAACGGCCUACUUGUUUCUAUUUUUGGGAAAGUUAGUUUAGUCUCAUUCUGAACCGCUUCGUUAUUUCGCGCAUAUCAUCCGUACGUCGCUUUGUUUUUUCCGUCUUCGCCCGUUCCUGUCUGGCUGGAAGCACAUCCAGUCUGCGACUGUGAGCUACAGGUCUGCACGGUGGAGAGGGGCUUCCCCACGCCUGGGUCAAGCACAUCCAGUCUGCCGCUGUGAGCUACAGACGGACACUCCCUCCAAGGUCUGACUAGGACAUGGGUCAGACAACAGCAAGACAGCUGCUAAAUAUAUGGCAGAAGAGCUUUCCAGGGCAGAAAGGUAUUGCACAGUUGACAAAAAGGGCGACUGUCGAGGAGUGGAGCCACCAGAAGAUCUGGAGAAAAUGCAUACUAUUAAAAUUAUCAUCUUAUUUCAAUAUA